UACGGGGGGGAGCAAGCGUUGUUCGGAUUUACUGGGCGUAAAGCGCGCGCAGGCGGCUUCUUAAGUCCAUCGGUGAAAUGCCGGGGCUCAACCCCGAGUGUGCCGAGGAUACUGGGAGGCUGGAGACGAGUAGAGGCAAGCGGAAUUCCGGGUGUAGUGGUGGAAUGCGUAGAUAUCGGGAGGAACACCAGUGGCGCAGGCGGCGUCCUGGACCGGCACUGACGCUGAGGAGCGAAAGCGUGGGGAGCGAUCCGG
rnacentral:rRNA from 1 species